AAAAGCGCACUUGCAGUGCAGAAGAUUAGCCGCAGAUGUGCGAGGGCGAGAGUUGAGUGUUUUCCACAGAAGCGAAUUUUUGGCCGCAAAAGCAAUACCACAGAAGCUGAUUUUUGGACCGCAGAAGUGAAAGUCUUGGGCAGAAUUAUUAAUUCGAGGGUUUCAUGAUUUUUCUCAUUCUAGACUUUGCAAACUCGGACUAAAGCAAUUUUUGAGAGGGAUUUCGAGGGGUUUCUUGAGGUAAGUCACAUGUAACAAUUUUUAUUUAAUACUAUUGUUUUGCCAUUGAAAUUUUCUCCUAGUUUGUGCGUUUUUAGGUAGAAUUUUAGGAGUUUGAGGUUAAGGAUUUGGAGAGUUUAAUUUGAGGAUUUGACCUAUGAUUUGGUAUCGAAAAUUGGUAAAUUUGGUAUGGUUAGACUCAGGGAGGGUGGGAGGGUAAGACUACUAAAGCCAUUCCCUUAGGCCCCUCAAAGCUAAAGGCCCCCAAAAAUAUUACUAGGAGUUUACUAUAUUAUUAUGCAUAACAUAUACUUUAUCCGUUUAGAUUUAGAUGAGAUUGUUUGACUCAUCAUGAAGUUUAAGAAAAAGAAAAGAAAUUUUAAAACUUGUGGUAUUAAAAGUUUAAGGGGUAAAAACUUUGCAGGCCAUGCCAUUUGUAGUUAUAAAAGCUUCUUAUUAAUGGCAAAAUGAGUAAAAUUUAGAAUUUAAAAUUGAAUUAUUUCCAAAUUUAAAAAUGUAUCAUUUAUUUUGGAACAAACUAAAAAGAAAAAUACCUUAUCUAAUUUGAAAUGAAGGGAGUACUUAAUUUAUAUAAUAAUUAUUAAUAAGAAAUUUCAAAUUUUAACAAUUUAUUUAUUUUGUUGAGGUUAAAAAGAUGAGUUAGAAAAUAAUAACAAUUUUUUUUCUUUUUAGUAGUUUUUUUGUCUUUCUUUAAAGUUUUAAUUUUUCCUCCUUCAAGAUUAAUCAUUUUUUCAUAUUUUUUGACUAUUUUAUUUUCUGACUUUAACUCACGAUCUUUGACUUAACUACUUUAUUUAGUCAUAGUUUGUUGGGUCAAUAGAUCAAAAAAGAAAAAUUUUUGUGUCUCAUAAUUAUUACAUGAAUUUUACGAAAUAAAUUUAAAAGGCCUCUUAAAAUAGCUUUGCUUUAGGCCACUAAAUCCUUUGAUCCACCUUUGGUUAGACUCGUGGUUGAAUGCUUAUUCUGAGACGUGGGCCCGGGGGCUUGACUUUUUGACUUUUGAUUAAGAACUUAGUACUUUCAUAUGAAAUUGAUUCUUUUUAGCUCAUGUUGAAUUUAUCGAAUUAUUUAUGGCUAGAUUCGAGGCAUUCGGAGGCCGAUUCGCGAGGCAUGUGCUUAUUGGAGUACAAAUUUGCAUGGUUUGAGAGAAGUAACACUUCUAAACUUGGUUCUGAGGGUAUGGU
rnacentral:lncRNA from 1 species